AUGAGUGAUCUUUCAUGUUUUAUAACAAAAAAGUCUUUUUGUCCCAACAUUAUGUAUGCUUGUUUGAAUGACUGUAGUAUUUACUAGUUUCAUUGAGUUUUGCUAUUUUUAUGAGUAUUAGCAUAUUGUUCUAGCAGAAAGCCAUUAAGGGGGGUGUGAAAAAUAAUUUCUUUAUUUAUAUAAUGUAUGCUUGUUUUGAUGAAUAUUUUUUACUAGUAGUUUCAUUGAGU
rnacentral:lncRNA from 1 species